GACGAACGCUGGCGGCGUGCUUAACACAUGCAAGUCGAGCGGUAAGGCCCUUUCGGGGGUACGACGAGCGGCGAACGGGUGAGUAACACGUGGGUGACCUGCCCUCCAGCUCUGGGAUAAGCCUGGGAAACCGGGCCUAAUACUGGAUAUGACUCCAUGACGCAUGUUGUGGGGUGGAAAGCCCUGUGCGGCUGAGGAUGGGCCCGCGGCCUAUCAGCUUGUUGGUGGGGUGAUGGCCUACCAAGGCGACGACGGGUAGCCGGCCUGAGAGGGCGACCGGCCACACUGGGACUGAGACACGGCCCAGACUCCUACGGGAGGCAGCAGUGGGGAA
rnacentral:rRNA from 1 species